rnacentral:rRNA from 1 species
UACAGAGGGUGCAAGCGUUGUUCGGAAUUAUUGGGCGUAAAGCGCGUGUAGGCGGCCAUGCAAGUCGGGUGUGAAAGCCCUCAGCUCAACUGAGGAAGUGCGCCCGAAACUGCGAGGCUUGAGUACCGGAGAGGAUGGUGGAAUUCCCGAAGUAGAGGUGAAAUUCGUAGAUAUCGGGAGGAACACCGGUGGCGAAGGCGACCAUCUGGACGGAUACUGACGCUGAGACGCGAAAGCGUGGGUAGCAAACAGG